rnacentral:RNase_P_RNA from 1 species
AUGGUCGCGGGCAGCUUCGCGCUGCGCGAGGAAAGUCCGGGCUUCACAGGGCAGGAUGCCGGAUAACGUCCGGUGGAGGCGACUCUAAGGACAGUGCAACAGAAAUAUACCGCCCGGCUGCGCCGGGUAAGGGUGGAAGGGCAGUGUAAGAGACUACCGCCUUUCUGGCAACAGAGAGGGCAUAUGUAAACCCCAUCCGAAGCAAGACCGAAACGAAGCGUAUGGCGGCCCGUCAGCUUCAGGUAGGUCGCUUGAGCCUGCCGGCAACGGCAGGCCUAGAUAGAUGACCAUUCACGACAUAACCCGGCUUAUCGUUUUGCUG